GGAAGUGGUAGCUCAGUGGUUAAGCUGUUAGACUUCUACUCAGAAGGUUGAGAGUUCAAAUCCCAGCACUACCA